GUCCACGGCCAUGCCACCCUGAACAAACUUGAUCCCGUCUGAUCUUGGAAGCUAAGCAGCAGGGUCGGGCCUGGUUAGUACUUGGAUGGGAGAUCACCUAGGGAGACCAGGUGUUAUAGGCA
rnacentral:rRNA from 1 species